CUCUUUUCCUGGUUUCUCAAGAGUGCUGCUGCUAACGCGGUCCCCGGCACGCACCAUCUGUUGCCAUCCCGGCCGGCCGAGGCCAUUGCAGAUUUUGGAAGAUGGCAAAGUUCAUGACACCCGUGAUCCAGGACAACCCCUCAGGCUGGGGUCCCUGUGCGGUUCCCGAGCAGUUUCGGGAUAUGCCCUACCAGCCGUUCAGCAAAGGAGAUCGGCUAGGAAAGGUUGCAGACUGGACAGGAGCCACAUACCAAGAUAAGAGGUACACAAAUAAGUACUCCUCUCAGUUUGGUGGUGGAAGUCAAUAUGCUUAUUUCCAUGAGGAGGAUGAAAGUAGCUUCCAGCUGGUGGAUACAGCGCGCACACAGAAGACGGCCUACCAGCGGAAUCGAAUGAGAUUUGCCCAGAGGAACCUCCGCAGAGACAAAGAUCGUCGGAACAUGUUGCAGUUCAACCUGCAGAUCCUGCCUAAGAGUGCCAAACAGAAAGAGAGAGAACGCAUUCGACUGCAGAAAAAGUUCCAGAAACAAUUUGGGGUUAGGCAGAAAUGGGAUCAGAAAUCACAGAAACCCCGAGACUCUUCAGUUGAAGUUCGUAGUGAUUGGGAAGUGAAAGAGGAAAUGGAUUUUCCUCAGUUGAUGAAGAUGCGCUACUUGGAAGUAUCAGAGCCACAGGACAUUGAGUGUUGUGGGGCCCUAGAAUACUACGACAAAGCCUUUGACCGCAUCACCACGAGGAGUGAGAAGCCACUGCGGAGCAUCAAGCGCAUCUUCCACACUGUCACCACCACAGACGACCCUGUCAUCCGCAAGCUGGCAAAAACUCAGGGGAAUGUGUUUGCCACUGAUGCCAUCCUGGCCACGCUGAUGAGCUGUACCCGCUCAGUGUAUUCCUGGGAUAUUGUCGUCCAGAGAGUUGGGUCCAAACUCUUCUUUGACAAGAGAGACAACUCUGACUUUGCGCUGCGCACAUUGUCAGUGACUCUUUGUUGCAUGGUGAGUGACCAUGCCACGCUUUUGCAGACCUCCUGACAGUGAGUGAGACUGCCAAUGAGCCCCCUCAAGAUGAAGGUAAUUCCUUCAAUUCACCCCGCAACCUGGCCAUGGAGGCAACCUACAUCAACCACAAUUUCUCCCAGCAGUGCUUGAGAAUGGGGAAGGAAAGAUACAACUUCCCCAACCCAAACCCGUUUGUGGAGGACGACAUGGAUAAGAAUGAAAUCGCCUCUGUUGCGUACCGUUACCGCAGGUGGAAGCUUGGAGAUGAUAUUGACCUUAUUGUCCGUUGUGAGCACGAUGGCGUCAUGACUGGAGCCAACGGGGAAGUGUCCUUCAUCAACAUCAAGACACUCAAUGAGUGGGAUUCCAGGCACUGUAAUGGCGUUGACUGGCGUCAGAAGCUGGACUCUCAGCGAGGGGCUGUCAUUGCCACGGAGCUGAAGAACAACAGCUACAAGUUGGCCCGGUGGACCUGCUGUGCUUUGCUGGCUGGAUCUGAGUACCUCAAGCUUGGUUAUGUGUCUCGGUACCACGUGAAAGACUCCUCACGCCACGUCAUCCUAGGCACCCAGCAGUUCAAGCCUAAUGAGUUUGCCAGCCAGAUCAACCUGAGCGUGGAGAAUGCCUGGGGCAUUUUACGCUGCGUCAUUGACAUCUGCAUGAAGCUGGAGGAGGGCAAAUACCUCAUCCUCAAGGACCCCAACAAGCAGGUCAUCCGUGUCUACAGCCUCCCUGAUGGCACCUUCAGCUCUGAUGAAGAUGAGGAGGAAGAGGAGGAGGAAGAAGAGGAAGAAGAAGAGGAAGAAACUUAAACCAGUGAUGUGGAGCUGGAGUUUGUCCUUCCACCGAGACUACGAGGGCCUUUGAUGCUUAGUGGAAUGUGUGUCUAACUUGCUCUCUGACAUUUAGCAGAUGAAAUAAAAUAUAUAUCUGUUUAGUCUUUC